rnacentral:lncRNA from 1 species
AAAUCCCUCAUCAUCACAGUUACAUCUCGGGAAACCAUUAUCAGCAGCCGACAAGGAAACAAGGAACGAUGAAAUUAACAAAGCUAAUGCUAAUAUCCUCAACAUUGCAUUCAAUUGACCAAGUCUUCAGCCCAUUUACUAUGCAUAACAAAUAUCCAUUUCAGAACCGAUACUUCUUAAUCAAGAAUCAUUAGAACCUGACAAAUCCAACGACGUAUGCAUAACACAAGUUGUCAAUUUCAUUUUCCAGUUCAACAAUUUGCAGCAAAAGAACAUGAAGACACCAUUAAAAUUUAAAAAUAAAAAAUAAAAAAAGGAUGACUCACUAUAAAAUUUCAGGAAUAGAUACAAAUGCAUGCACCAACACCCACUUGCUAUAAUAUAACAUAGGUUGCAUAAAUUCCGAAAAGGAUAUUUUCUUACAAAAUUGGUAUUUUCAAAUAACUAUUAAAUCAAUCCUAAAUAAAUAUUGGAGUCAAUAAGUCCACUAUCCACGUCAACCCAUAAUCACCCAAAUACAAAAAUCAGAACCAAUUACACCACUAAAUUAAAAUAAGCGUGAAAAAAAAGAAAGCAACCUGCUGCACUAAAGCGCUAAGCACAGUUCCAGGGAAGGGCCAAACCAUAAAUUCAAUUAAAACAUGAAAAAGUGAAAGAAAAACAAAAGAAUUACAGAGCAUAAUUACCUGAAGAAAAUAAUAAAUACACAUAGUUUCUCGGAGAGCAAAUUCCAGAAGAAGUCAAUCUAAUUGUGAGAUCUUAUCAUUUUCCCACAUGCAGAUCCCAAUAAUAAAUAUAUAUACAGACUACUUGGGCAUAUCAUCUUCUU